rnacentral:rRNA from 1 species
AUAACCCGGGGAAACCCGGCCUAAUACCCCAUGCCGCCCGGACCGGGCAUCCGGACCGGGCGAAAGGAGGAAUCCGGUGGCGGCUGGGCAUGCGGCGCAUUAGCUAGACGGCGGGGUGACGGCCCACCGUGGCGACGAUGCGUAGGGGUUCUGAGAGGAAGGCCCCCCACACUGGGACUGAGACACGGCCCAGACUCCUACGGAAGGCAGCAG